rnacentral:lncRNA from 1 species
CUGGCAGCUGCAGAGCAGGACAGACCAGAUUGGCCAGUACAACAGCAGAGGGCCAUGUUGGGCUUUGACUCAGGAAUCCUGGUGGAGGCAAUGAUGAGAGAGAAGAGAUAAAACACACUAGACAAACUUCCAAGUGCGAGGCAGUGUGGAGGGCUGUUGCCUUGAAUGGCAGCUGAAUGCACCAGCGGGAUCCUUGGCAGCAAUGCCCAGGCACUGAAGUCGGGCAUUCAGGAGAGCUAAAUGGAGAAAAGAAACUUGAGCAAACUGCUUCCUGGAACACUGAGAACCUGAAUGGGAAAUUAAGAAGAACCAGAUUCUUUCUAUUCUUCCACCAGCCAAGGUGAUGAGCACAAAAGGAUCCAUCUUAUACAGUGCUUGCCAGCUUCCAUAAUACUACUCACCACGAUGUUGAAAUCACCUGUUCCAGAACCAGUCCUGUCCUUUGACAAGAAGGAUUUAAUUAUCAGUAGUGGUGGGGACUGGCUGGAGAGAGGAAAAACACUUCAAGGACUCUGCCACCUUUCGUAGAUGGAGAGUGCAAAGUUUGUACCAUGGAACUCCUUCUCUAACAGUUACUCUGUGGCAGUGCCUAUUUCAAACCUCCCUUAACUUCUGAUUGUAUAGAUGUUUGUUUCAUUUGUUCAUCUGUUUGUUCACUUAGUCAGAGAUGUUUUAAGCCUUAAGAGAAAUAGUGGACUAGAAAAUGCCUUGGAAAAGUACAAAGUUCAAUCCAAGUAAACUGUUUUUAAACUAGGAAUUUAUGAAGCCUAAAAUAUAAAAUGUAUAUACAUGGAUAUGCUCUGAAGUGAGGUAGAGGGGUAGAAAUCAACAUUGUGAUAUUGUACUAUAGUUUUGCAAGAUGUUACCAUUGGGGGAAAAUGUUUGAAGGGUAUACGGGAUAUCUCUGCCUUAUUUCUUACAACUGCAUGUGAAUCUACAGUUAUCUCAAAAUAAAA